rnacentral:rRNA from 1 species
AGAGUUUGAUCCUGGCUCAGGAUAAACGCUGGCGGCGCACAUAAGACAUGCAAGUCGAACGGAAGUCGUUACGAAAUGGAAUGAAGAUUUAUCUGAUUGAAGUUUUGUAACAAUGGCUUUAGUGGCGGACUGGUGAGUAACACGUAAGCAAUCUACCUAUUAGAGGGGAAUAACAAUGAGAAAUCAUUGCUAAUACCGCAUAAGCUUGUAGUACCGCAUGGUACAGCAAGAAAAGGAGCAAUCCGCUAAUAGAUGAGCUUGCGGCUGAUUAGCUAGUUGGUGUGGUAACGGCAUACCAAGGCAACGAUCAGUAGCCGGGCUGAGAGGCUCUUCGGCCACAUUGGGACUGAGAUACGGCCCAGACUCCUACGGGAGGCAGCAGUCGGGAAUUUUGCGCAAUGGAGGAAACUCUGACGCAGUGACGCCGCGUAUAGGAAGAAGGUUUUCGGAUUGUAAACUAUUUUAGUCAGGGAAGAAAAAUGACAGUACCUGAAGAAUAAGCUCCGGCUAACUACGUGCCAGCAGCCGCGGUAAUACGUAGGGAGCAAGCGUUAUCCGGAUUUAUUGGGUGUAAAGGGUGCGUAGACGGGAAGACAAGUUGGUUGUGAAAGCCCUCGGCUCAACUGAGGAACUGCAACCAAAACUAUCAUUCUUGAGUGCGGGAGAGGAAAGUGGAAUUCCUAGUGUAGCGGUGAAAUGCGUAGAUAUUAGGAGGAACACCAGUGGCGAAGGCGACUUUCUGGACCGUAACUGACGUUGAGGCACGAAAGUGUGGGGAGCAAACAGGAUUAGAUACCCUGGUAGUCCACACCGUAAACGAUGGAUACUAGGUGUAGGGAACGAUAUGUUUUCUGUGCCGAAAGCAAACGCAAUAAGUAUCCCACCUGGGGAGUACGGCCGCAAGGUUGAAACUCAAAGGAAUUGACGGGGGCCCGCACAAGCAGUGGAGUAU